CGGCUCAACCCGUGGAGGGUCAUUGGAAACUGGAGGACUUGAGUGCAGAAGAGGAGAGUGGAAUUCCACGUGUAGCGGUGAAAUGCGUAGAGAUGUGGAGGAACACCAGUGGCGAAGGCGACUCUCUGGUCUGUAACUGACGCUGAGGCGCGAAAGCGUGGGUAGCGAACAGGAUUAGAUACCCUGGUAGUCCACGCCGUAAACGAUGAGUGCUAAGUGUUAGAGGGUUUCCGCCCUUUAGUGCUGCAGUUAACGCAUUAAGCACUCCGCCUGGGGAGUACGGCCGCAAGGCUGAAACUCAAAGGAAUUGACGGGGGCCCGCACAAGCGGUGGAGCAUGUGGUUUAAUUCGAAGCAACGCGAAGAACCUUACCAGGUCUUGACAUCCCGCUGACCGGUAUAGAGAUAUACCUUUCCCUUCGGGGACAGCGGUGACAGGUGGUGCAUGGUUGUCGUCAGCUCGUGUCGUGAGAUGUUGGGUUAAGUCCCGCAACGAGCGCAACCCUUAAUCUUAGUUGCCAGCAUUCAGUUGGGCACUCUAAGGUGACUGCCGGUGACAAACCGGAGGAAGGUGGGGAUGACGUCAAAUCAUCAUGCCCCUUAUGACCUGGGCUACACACGUGCUACAAUGGAUGGUACAAAGGGUCGCAAAACCGCGAGGUCAAGCUAAUCCCAUAAAACCAUUCUCAGUUCGGAUUGCAGGCUGCAACUCGCCUGCAUGAAGCCGGAAUCGCUAGUAAUCGUAGAUCAGAAUGCUACGGUGAAUACGUUCCCGGGCCUUGUACACACCGCCCGUCACACCACGAGAGUUUGUAACACCCGAAGUCGGUGGGGUAACCCUUACGGGAGCCAGCCGCCGAAGGUGGGACAGAUGAUUGGGGUGAAGUCGUAACAAGGUAACC
rnacentral:rRNA from 1 species